CUGCUUUUUAUUGCUUUCAAUUUCAGUUUUAUUACAGUUCAUGGGAGGGCACGUGUGUGUCUAUUCCAAAUAUCCUCUUUUAUUGAGAACUAAGGAAAUAUUAACUACAUCGCUCUUCUGUUUCAUGAGCAAAUCUAUUCCAUGAGGUGGGGGAUGGAUUUUUCUCUAGGUAUUUAUAGCUUUGCGGGUGAACUUUUCCAGAAUUCCAUUUGUCGACUCCUUUCUCACCCUCGGGAUUGGUCGGCUCUUCUCUGGCGGCUGCGACGGGAGGCCCUUUCCACAGCCUGGGAGGCCAGAAGAGCAGUCUGCGGCUGCGCGGAGGACGGGUGCGUGGAGCGGAAGGCGGGAGUGCACGGAGCAGAAAGCCGGGCCGCUGGAGGCUUUGCACCCAGCCCCUGGUCCGCAGGACUCCUCGGAGAACAGCAAAGCAGGGUGGUGCUGUGAAGCCCGGCCGCGGGGUUCAGAGAGCCAAGUGAGACUGAUGCUUUCAUCUUUGGAACAAGACUGUCCAAUAAGGAAGGAGGACAUUAGCCACCUCUCAUUCUGUAUAACUGGCCGUGGAUCCUACUCGAAGGAGGCCAAAAAUAGAAGCCAUUUGGCUUCCUCUUCUGAGGCAGAUCUGGAUAAGCCUCGCCUGAGAAAAUCCUCCUUGUACAUUAACCAAGGGAGCUGUCACAAAGGAAUUUGGGAAUCAUUGCAGGCGUGUGUACACAGAGCGUCCAAACGGGAAGCAAAGCUGGGCCUGGUUUUCUUCAGCCUCAGACCACACUUCUGUCUCUGCUCCUUACUAAUAAGGGGAAGAAAUCGCUUCAGACCCUACUGCUGCCACCUCCUAGGAGCUCCAGCAACUUGAGUCACCACAAGGAAGAUGGUCAGGUGUACGGUUUAAUCCCAUCUUGCAGAGUUUCUGCCCUUGUGGAGUAAAAAUACUCUCUGUCAAAAGGGCAUGUUAAGUAACCCUAACUAACCUUGGGCUGGGGAUGUAGCUCAGUGACAGAGCAUUUGCUAGCACGUGCAAGGCCUUUGAAGACAAUGACAACGAUGAUGAUAAGAAGUAGCUUUCCCGUGCUAAGCUUUUAACAUCCUGUGCCAUGUAAUCUGCACAGCAACCCCAUGAGGAAGAACUACGGUGAUGCCCAUAUCACAGAUGCCCACGCUGAGGCGCAGAGGUGCUGAAUGCUGUGGCUGCACAGGGAACCAAGAUUAAAGCCAAGCAACGGGACUGGGCUCUGGACUUGCAGAACAGGAGUGCACAAGCUCAUAACACGAAUCAGCACGUACUUUAUGCCACAUCACUGGAAUGCAGCACUGCUUGCAAGGAAAAGGAUGACUUCAACACAGCUGAGGCCAGAGAGGAGGGGGCAGGACCAAGGGAGGACUGGCUCCUCCUAGAGCAGAAAGGAAGUCAUUUUUCACUAGCACAUGAAGUUGUUAUCUACUUUGAAGCCAGCUGUUUGAGCGAGCGCGUGACUCUCGUGGAUGUGUGUGAGCAGACCUGCUCUGUUGGUUGCAGUCUCUAAGCUUUACCUUCUUAGCCCCUAGAAGACAAGUUCUUCCAUUUCAGGUCACCUGCCACCAAGGCCCCCAGUUCCUGGGCUGUCUGUGUCCAGUGAAGGAGACUCCAGAAGAAAUUUGACUGUUCGUGAGCCCUGAUCUGGAACAGAGAGGAGGAAAGGUCUUUUCCUUCACCUCCCCCACCACCACCACUUAAAGUCCUCACACCUCCUCUGCAGUUUUUGGCAGACCUUUCAGGAAAUAUUAAGUUAGACUAAAAAUUCAGAGGUCUCAGUAACAUUCGGGGCUAAUUUAAAACAUCCAGCAUACUACAAAUUCAACAUAGAAUUAUUUAAACAUUGGUUCUACUUAUUUUAGCAAGACAGCAGCUGCCUAGAAUCAGAAUUGAGAACAAAUAAAUAAGAGUGAAACGAGGAUGGAUUUUCGCAGGAGCUAAAAUUAAAAUGUCUUGUGUGAUGAGUGCAUUUCAACAGCCACAAAGCACCUCAACGCGCACAAACAGUGACUCAAAGGAGGGUCAAAAGGUAUCACUGCCUGCUUGGCCUCCCCCAUAGCAAAUGAGACACUGAAGGCCUGGGUGGCAACUAUGUGCUUCCUCUUUGGGUGCACAUUUAGCCUGUCUCUGCAGGACAGAUUUGGAACAAAAGAAAAGGAAGUGGAAAGAACAACUUCAUCUUCAGAUGUAAUUCCAACCAAACUGGGAAUUUGAGGGGUCUUCUAUUGGUCACACUCUAUCUUCUUUUGCUUUUGGGGGUGUUUGUUUACCUUCAUGCAAAUAUACUAAGAAGUCAGAACUGCAGACAUUUUAGAGCCAGGAAUUCUCUCGUGCCCAAAAGCCACUCCCAUCCACACAGGACACUUCUGUUUCAUCUCAGCAUUGAUUAUAUUCUUUGCGAGCCACUAAGCUGUGACGAAAUGUGUGCUUUCCUGAGACAACAUGUAAGCAUUUCAUAAAGGAGCCCCCAGUACUCAUGAACUAUUUUCAGACACAGUAUUUAUGAAACUAUUAAAAACUCAUUCCUCUUGCCAUCUUUUUAUAAGUUGAAAAGCAAGCAUAGGUUAUUUAUAUCAUUUCCCUAGAGACACUAGUAAUUUUGGUCUGGAAGAUAUUUGCAUUUAAGAUACAUCAUGCAGCUGGCAUCAGUGUUUUGUUUUGUUUUGUUGACUUGUAUUUGUACACUCAUCUAUUGGUAGCAAUUCUAUUAGCUCUUUUAAAGGGUUAGGUAGAGGAAACAUAGAAAUAUAUCAUGCCUCUACGUCAAAAUAUGAAGAACAAAAAAAAGAUAAUAGGAAAUAAGGAGAUAGGAAGGGAAGGGAGGAGAAGAAAAGGAAAUGAAGUGAGAAUUGAGAUGUGUUAUUAUGUGUACCAGCUCCCCACAAGGAAUGUAAUCAUUAUGUGAAACCAGCAUGCACCAAUGAAAAAGAAAAAAAUACAGCUGAAAAAUUUUGUGCUUUGAAGUGAGACUGAGACAAUCUCUGAAGAAAGCUGAGUAGACAUGCACUGUCUCUCCACUAAGGAGGAAAACGAGACCUCAGAACAAAAAUUAUCCUGAAUCUUCCCCUUCUGUAAAAAGACAGACUUCCCUUUUUGAGUGGAAUAAGUGGAGAAUGUGUUAGAACUGACUUGCAUGUGCCAGAGAGAGAACCCUGUGCCUCCAAUGUCCACCCUGGAUCUGAGAGCCCCAGUGUUGGGUGUGAAGUGAGAACCUGUGUUGCUUUCUGGCUGUGCAUUUCGAGUGGACGCACUUGGCAUGGGGCGGGGGUGCUGGCCAUUUGGGAGGAUUGAAUGAAGCUGGUUUCCUUCUCUAUAGAACCACCACCAGUUCCAUCAUUUUCUCCGGAGGCUGCUGCCUGAGAGCAGGUUUUAGACGUGAAGGCCUUUGAGGUGAGCAAGUAGCUGUCUUAAAAACAGGUUGCAGUGAAUGAGAUCGCUUGGUCUGCCCCCUCGAGUUUUGGGAGCCGCAGUUCCCAUUCCCAGUGCAUUGUUGCUUCCUUAAAUUCUUGAUCCUCAGAACCAGCUUCCUGGAUCAUGGGCUGAACCCCUCACCUUGAACUUCUUCGGGCUUAUUCGUCUGGGUUAUUAUUCUGAUUUGCUAAGUAGGUCAUAACGGGAAAGCAAGGCGAGUCAUUGCACGAAUGACCCAAGACCCUUCCCUCGGCCUGCCGCAGCGGCGGCCGCUGUGUCCUCUCAGUGCCACUUCCCAGAGCACGUGGAGCCUGCCCUCUGGACUCUGGACUCUGUCCUCACCAGUGCCCCCCUGGGGGUCUAACGAGCCCUCCUUGGAUAACCGCUGGAGAGCUGUCCAGCUGUGCUCCUAUCCGCCCCUUCUCCCCAGGUGCCCCAGAACUGCGGGCUCAGGUGUUGCGCCUGGGUAGAGUGUGGAACCUUCCUCGUGCCCCCAGGGCACUGAGAGCGAGACUAACGCAGCCUGCUCUGCACCACAGGCCUCUCCCAGGUCAGCUCCUUUCCAGCCUCACCCAGUGCCUCAUGUCCUCCUGCCCCCUCCACGGCCGUCCCAACGGAGGACCCUGCCUGCCUGGGACACCUGCUGUGCCUUGGGAUGCUUAUCCUCUUCCCCCAUUCAGCCGCUUCCUCCGGAAAGCCCGCCAGGCCUCCCGGGCAUGCAGCCCUACAGCACAUACGCACUGCAGGAAAGCUGAAAAUUGGUCAAACUCCGAGCAGGGGCAUAGCUGGUGUCAGUGUUAGAAAUUCUGAGGAAAAUAAACAUGCCACCUCCAAAAUCUAAUCUGAAAGGAGAUCGAACUCAGGACCUUGCGCUUUCCAGGCAGGUGCAGUGCCGCUGAACCACAUCUCCGGCCGUUGUUGUUUUUGUUGUUGUUGUUGUUGUUACUGAGUUUCAUCCUCAAAGAAGGAAACUACAUCAAGGAGAUUUAGGAAAUUAUUAAUAGUAUGAAAUAUACAUAUAUCAAGAAAAAGGAAAAUAGAAAAUGUCCCAGACAUUUCCAUCUCCCUAGGAAAAGCUGGACUUCCCUAGUUAGGUGACCUUCUCCUGGCACUGGGCCAGAUCACCAUUCGUGAAC
ensembl:lncRNA